rnacentral:rRNA from 1 species
AGUGGCGAACGGGUGAGUAAUAUAUCGGAACGUGCCCAGUCGUGGGGGAUAACGUAGCGAAAGUUACGCUAAUACCGCAUACGAUCUACGGAUGAAAGCGGGGGACCGUAAGGCCUCGCGCGAUUGGAGCGGCCGAUAUCAGAUUAGGUAGUUGGUGGGGUAAAGGCUCACCAAGCCAACGAUCUGUAGCUGGUCUGAGAGGACGACCAGCCACACUGGAACUGAGACACGGUCCAGACUCCUACGGGAGGCAGCAGUGGGGAAUUUUGGACAAUGGACGCAAGUCUGAUCCAGCCAUUCCGCGUGCAGGAUGAAGGCCCUCGGGUUGUAAACUGCUUUUGUACGGAACGAAAAGGUCUCUAUUAAUACUAGGGGCUCAUGACGGUACCGUAAGAAUAAGCACCGGCUAACUACGUGCCAGCAGCCGCGGUAACACGUAGGGUGCAAGCGUUAAUCGGAAUUACUGGGCGUAAAGCGUGCGCAGGCGGUUAUGUAAGACAGAGGUGAAAUCCCCGGGCUCAACCUGGGAACUGCCUUUGUGACUGCAUAGCUAGAGUACGGUAGAGGGGGAUGGAAUUCCGCGUGUAGCAGUGAAAUGCGUAGAUAUGCGGAGGAACACCGAUGGCGAAGGCAAUCCCCUGGACCUGUACUGACGCUCAUGCACGAAAGCGUGGGGAGCAAACAGGAUUAGAUACCCUGG